AUUGAACGCUAACGGCAUGCUUAACACAUGCAAGUCGAACGGCAGCACGGUAGUAGCAAUACUAUGGGUGGCGAGUGGCGGACGGGUGAGUAAUGUAUAGGAAUCUGCCUUGUAGUGGGGGAUAACCUGGGGAAACCCGGGCUAAUACCGCAUAACCUCUACGGAGUAACGCGGGGGACCGUAAGGCCUCGCGCUAUAAGAUGAGCCUAUAUUGGAUUAGCUAGCUGGUAGGGUAAAGGCCUACCAAGGCAACGAUCCAUAGCGGGUCUGAGAGGAUGAUCAGCCACACUGGAACGGAAGCACGGCCCAGACUCCUACGGGAGGCAGCAGUGGGGAAUAUUGGACAAUGGGGGAAACCCUGAUCCAGCAAUGCCGGGUGUGUGAAGAAGGCCUUCGGGUUGUAAAGCACUUUUAGUGGGAAAGAAAAGUUAAAAAUUAAUAAUUUUGAGACCUGACGUUACCCACAGAAAAAGCACUGGCUAACUCUGUGCCAGCAGCCGCCGUAACAC
rnacentral:rRNA from 1 species